rnacentral:lncRNA from 10 species
AAAAUGUCUUAGAAAUUAGAAAUUCGUAUUUUCAUCUGUUAGGCAGUUUUGAGCUGCAGGUAAGAAUACAAAAAAAUAGCAAUAAGCAACAAAGUUUAUUAUUCUCACAGACAGGACUUUCAUAAGAAAAGAGGUACAGGGUUGGUUCAGAUGCUUAAAAAUGUAUGGCCUCUGAGUCAUUUCUUCUAUAAUUUUCUUGACCUUCUUUUCAGUUACAAUAUGGCUACGGAAGCUCCAAGUAUUACAUCUUCACACAUCAAUGUCUAAAAUUAGGGGGAAAACUGAGCUUCUUUAACAAGUCUUUCUUUUUCUUUUUCUUUUUUUUUUCUUUUUUUUUUUCACCAGGGUACAAAAUGAAAGACCUAGAAGGCAUUUCUUCUAAUUCCAUUGGCCAGAACUAGGUUAUAUAUCCAUUCUUGCCUUUAGAGAGACUAAGAACGUGAAUGUCACACAGAUGGGAUCUCACAAAGGAAGUGGGUGGCAUGGAUUCUUGUUUAGGUAACUAGUGAUAUCUGUCAGUAGUGUCAGUAUAGUAUAAGUAUGGGCUUUGGGGCCAACUUCCUAAGUUUGAGUACUGGCUUAUCCAUUUCUUGAGUAAUUAUUUAACUUAUUGGGCUUUUACUUUCCUCAUAUAUAAAAUGAGGAUAAAACAGUUUCUCCUUCAAUUCAUGUCAGCUAUCUUUAUUAUAAAAUAUUUGGUUAUAAUUUAUAAAGUAAAACACUGCAUUGUUUCAUAACUGAAUGAAAGUUUGAAUCUCCUGAAGUAAUUCUUUAGAAACUCCGGUCCAGCUAAAUCAAGUUUUUAGAAAUGCAAAAUGCCAUGUUAGAAUUGCAAGUGAAAUUAUGUCAAUUCCAUCUUAAUGAUUUUUACAACUAAUUAUUAGCUACGUUAGACCCAUAGUGAACUCCAAAGUAUUUGCUCUGCCAUCCGCCUUCCCCUAUAACAAGAGAAACUUGAGUACAGGGUAACCUGAAUUAAUCUCCAGUUCAUCUAUGAGUAUAGGGGAAAUAUGCACUCAUUUAGUGUUCCUGAAUCAGUAGUUAAAAUCCUGCCAUAACUUCCCAUGAAAAUAUAUAUGUGAAUGUAUAUGUUUGUAUGUAUGAGUGUAUCAGUGUAUGUGUAUGUGUAUGUGUGUGUGUGUGUGUGUUUAUAAUAUGGUAUAAUAUUGGAAAUCUUCCUUUCUUUUAUGCUGGAACAAUUACACUCCAACACUGAAACAAAAAGAGAAUAAUUCAAGUAGAUUCAAAUGGAGAGAUUAACAUGGCAGUGAUAUCGAGGAUAACAAAAUCAAUUUUACUGUAAGUACCAUGUGUGAAGAAAGAUGUUCAACAUCAAUGCUCUAGUCUUUCAGCCUGACAUUUCUUUGUGAAGUGGGCAGAAAAUUAAAUUGCCUGAAAUUAAAGGAGAAAAGCACACACCAUGAAAAGUAACAUGCCCAAUGACAGUUGAGGUCGUGCUUCCACUGAGGUCAAGUGAGCCUCCCUGGAUGUCAGUUAACCAAAAAGAAAAGAUAAUGGGUGGAGACCAGAGAAAACUUUCUUGGAUAUUAGCUGGCUGCCAACUUGGUAGUAGUUCACACAGACCCACAACAAUAGCCAAGGUGCUAGAAAGAAAUUUACAGCCAUGGGCAGAGUGUGGCAUAACCAUAAAUUUUAAGCACAUUCUUUAUCUCCGAUAAGCAUAUUCCCUAAAGCACAGUCAUAUUUCCCUAUUAAUGUUAAUUCCAUAUCUGUCCAAUUGUUUAACUCACUCAGCAAUUAGUUAGUUGUCUAACUAGAUACAGGAAAAUCUUCUACAGGUUAACUGCAUGUUACAUAAAAGAGAGUUUUCUAUGUCCCAUUUUCUCUGAGUUGUCUGUUACAUACACAUUUAUUUUUACAAGGCAUUUAUUAUUUUACAACUAUUAUAAAGCUUAUAUUAAUCUUUACAUAAUAAAAAUGCAAACAAAGCCCACUCUGCCAUUCAUUCUCAGCAUUAAAAAUAAUCCUGACUUUGAAAAAUGAGCCUCAAAAUCAAAGAGCUAUUUCCAGAAGAAUUAAAUGAGUAAGAUUGUAUCCAUUUGUUGCUGCCACAAAUAAAGGGAAUAUACAUAUACAUGCCCUACUAUGUGCCAUAUACAUGUCUCUAAAAAAUUUCAUACUAAUUCAAUUUUCACAAUAACCUAUAGGCUUGUUUUACUAGCAUAGAUGAGCAAACUAUGUAACAGAAAAGUUAAAUAACUUGCACAAUUUAAUACAUCUAGAAAAGAAAAAUUCAGGAUGCAAAUGCAGGUCUCUUUGAUUCUACAGAACGGUGCUCAAUUUAAACAUUUAUAUAAAAUUAUCCAGUACCUCAUUAACUAGUCAUCUUUUCCAAAGCUAAGGAAAUGGUUUAUUUUUUUUUUCCAUGAAAUUAUCAGUUGUGAUGGUAAUGUGAGGUGUUCUUGCAUUGUUCUAUUUUCAUGUACCCACAUCUGUGUGGGUAUUAGAAGAUGAAUCAACAGCAAGAAGGUUCCUAACUACUGUUCAACCAACUGAAGAAUUACUAUAGACAGAGAUAAUUGAUAGUCUCAAAUUUUGAGUAUUUCUGAAAACUGGCUUAUUGAAAAAUAGAUUGUGAUAUUACAGAGAUUAUUUUGCAAGAAUAAAAUAAUAGGAGAUAUCUUCAGAGAAGAGACAUUAUGGAAAGAUGUAAACUAGGGAUAUAUGAAAGCUUACCAGUUGGGGAAGGGACACUCUUCAAUACAUGGUGCUUGGAAAACUGGAUAUCCACAUACAGAUAAAUGAAACUAGAACCUGUCUCUCACCAUACAUAAAAAUCAACUCAAAAUGGAUUAAAGACUUAAAAGUAAGGUCCUAAACUAUGAAACUAACAGAAGAAAAUACAGAGAAAAUGCUUCAUGACCUUGGUCUGGAAAAAGAUUCUUUGGAUAAGACCUCAAAAGCACAGACUAAAAAAGCCAACAUAGACAAAUGGGAUUACACCAAACUAAAAAGAUUCUGCACAGCAAAUAGAACAAUCAACAAAGUACAGAGACAACCUACAGUAUAGAAGAAAAUAUUUGCAACCUAUGCAUCUGACAAAGGGUUAAUUUCCAGAAUACAUAAGGAACUCAAAAAACUCAAUAGCAAAACCCUAAAUAAUCUGAUUUUUAAAAAGCAAAAUAUAUGAAUAAACUUUUAUCCAAAGAAGAUAUACAAAUGGCCAACAGAUAUAUUUUAAAAAUCCUAAUAUUCAGAGAAACGCAAGUCAAGACCACAAUGAAAUAUCAUCUCACUCCAGUUAGAAUGGUUAUUAUCAUAAAGAGAAAACAAAUAAUAAAUGCUGGUGAGAGCGUGGAGAAAUAGGAACUCAUAUACUGUUGGUAGGAAUGUAGAUUAGUAAGGCAUUAAGGACAACAAUAUGGAGGUUUCUCAAAAAAUUAAAAAUAGAACUGCCAUAUGAUCCAGCAAUCGUGCUCCUGGAUAUUUAUCCAAAGGAAAUGAAAUCAGUAUAAUUUCUGAUAUCUGCACUGUCAUGUUCAUUGCAGCACUAUUCACAAUAGCCAAAAUAUGGAAACAACCAACAUGUCCAUCAACAGAUGAAGGGAUAAAGUGUAGAUAUACAAAAUGGAACACUAUUUAGACAUAAAAAUAAUGGAAUUGUGUCAUUCACAGCAACAGGGAUGAGCCUGCAAGACAGUAUAUUAUGCAGAAGUCAUGCACAUAAAGCUAAACAAUACCUCAUAUUCUCAUUCAUAUGUGGGAGAUAAGAAGAUGAGCAUAUAGAAGUAGAGAGUAGAAUUGUGGCUAUUAGACCCUGAAGGAUAUGGGAGAGGAGAGGAUAUGGAGAGUUUGGUUAGCAGGUACAAAAUUACAGCUAGAUGUAAGAAAUAAGUUCCAGUGUUCUACAGCACUGUAGGGUAAGUACAGUCCACAAUAAUUUAUUGUAUAUUUUCAGAUAACUGGAAGAGAAGAUUUUGAAUGUGCCCAAUACAAAGAAAUAAUAAGUUUGAGGUGAUGGGUAUGCUAAUUACCCAUAUUUGAUCAUUACAUACCAUAUAUAUGUGUUGAAAUAUCACUCUGCAUUCCAUAAAUAUGUGCAAUUAUUUCAUUUCAAAUAAAAAUAAAAGAAAAAGUGCU